rnacentral:rRNA from 1 species
CCUACGGGAGGCUGCAGUGAGGAAUAUUGGUCAAUGGGCGCGAGCCUGAACCAGCCACGUAGCGUGAAGGAUGAAUGCCCUACGGGUUGUAAACUUCUUUUAUAAAGGAAUAAAGUGAGGCACGUGUGCAUUUUUGUCUGUACUUUAUGAAUACGGCUCGGCUAACUCCGUGCCAGCAGCAGCGGUAAUACGGAGGGUCCGAGCGUUAUCCGGAUGUAUUGGGUUUAAAGGGAGCGUAGAUGGGUUGUUAAGUCAGUUGUGAAAGUUUGCGGCUCAACCGUAAAAUUGCAAUUGAUACUGGCAGUCUUGAGUACAGUUGAGGUAGGCGGAAUUCGUGGUGUAGCGGUGAAAUGCUUAGAUAUCACGAAGAACUCCGAUUGCGAAGGCAGCUUACUAAACUGCCACUGACAUUGAGGCUCGAAAGUGUGGGUAUCAAACAGGAUUAGAUACCCUUGUAGUC